CCAGGGUCUGCAUUGACGCCGCUAGCACUGCGAAGCAGUGUCUUAGACUGCUGCGUCACUGGGGAGGCCCCGUGAUUAUGGCUUUUUGAGAUACAAAAACUCCAACAAUAUAUACAACCACAUUACCCACCAUAAAUUACAAAACAUCGUCGAUCCCGCCCAAAACGUCAUCAUCAACAACACCACCACCAUCAUCAUUAACAUCGUCAACAAUAUCAAACAGCAACAUGGAGUCACAAGAGCAGCGAUUACAAAGGAAGGUCAUAUCAGUCAGUACAUUGUUAGCUAUCUCUCUGAUAGCUAAUAUCCUCCUUUUGGGUGUUGUCAUCUUGCGGACCCGGGGGAGACGCCAGCAUGAGGGCGUGUCUCUUGCCAUGCCUGAACUGACAGUAUUGAACGCAGUAGAGGUAAAUCAUCUGAUGCAGAACGACAACGGAGAUGCUCUGCAGCACUGACCCCGUUCAGUGGAAUAAUCCAGCUCUCUUCCAUCUGCCACCAUUUGCCCCUCGCUUUCAAUGGACAAAUAUAUAUCCUGAGCCAAAGAAAAGGAGCCAACAGUCCUGCCUGCCUCUCUCUCUCUCUCUCGCUCUCUCUCUCACACACACGCUUCACACUUCCAGGGCUGAGGCCACAACUCUUCUCCUGCCACUGGGAUUCUGGAGUUACUGUUGCAGACAUUAAUAAAAUCUCCCCUCCGUGUGUUUUAAUGAGGAGAAUGGGAGAACAAAUAAAUGUCCGUCUGUCAAGAGUCUCUAAAGAACAAGACAUGGAUUAAGGGAACACGGUAGUCUUGAAUGUCACCCCCUGCCUUCAGCUGUCCGUUCAGCCCAAAGAUAAUAUGUUCAUGUGAAUGGGAAGAAAACAGUGAGAUGAACAACAAGAUGAACCCUUUAGGGACGUACAUUAGAACUAAGAUGGUCCGAUAUUGAGUAUUAUUGUACUUUGCUGAAGUACAAUAUUUUACGAACAAAGCCUGCAUCCAUUCCUGACUGUGUUUAGAUGAUGUGGCUGUGUUACUUGAUGAAAGGGGAUUUUAUGACACAUAGGGAAAGAGAAAUAUCAAAGGAGUAAAUCAGUGAAGAAAAAAAGAUGAAAUAAAUAAAGUGAAGACCAUUUUAUGUACAAAGUGUGUAUAUAUUUAGAGUACCAGUCAAAUUUUGGACACACCUACUAAUUCAAAAAAAAAAAUCGGACUAUUUUCUACAUUGUAGAAUAAUAGUGAAGACAUCAAAACUAUGAAACAACACAUAUGGAAUCAUGUAGUACCCAAAGAAGUGUUAACCAAAUCAAAAUAUGUUCUGUAUUUGAGAUUCUUCAAAGUAGCCACCCUUUGCCUUGAUGACAACUUUGUACAGUCUUGGCAUUCUCUCAACCAGCUCCAUGAGGAAUGCUUUUCCAACAGUCUUGAAGGAGAUCUCACAUAUGCUGAGCACUUGUUGGCUGCUUUUCCUUCACUCUGCAGUCCAACUCAUCCCAAACCAUCUCAAUUGGGUUGAGGUUGGUGAUUGUGGAGGCUAUCAUCUGAUGCAAUACACCAUCACUCUCCUUGGUCAAUAUCCCUUACCCCACCUGGAGGUGUGUUGGGUCAUUGUCCUGUUGAAAACCAAAUGAUAGUCCCACUAAGAGCAAACCAGAUGGGAUGGCAUAUCGCUGCAGAAUGCUGUGGUACCCAUGCUAGUUAACGGUGCCUUGAAUUUUACACAAAUCGCAGGCAGUGUCACCAGCAAAGCACCAUCACACCACCUCCUCCAUGCUUCACGGUGGGAAUCACACAUGCGGAGAUCAUCCGUUCACCUACUCCGUGUCUCACAAAGACACGGCGGUUGGAACCAAAAAUGUCAAAUUUGGACUCAUCAGACCUAAGGACUGAUUACCACCAGUCUAUUGUCCAUUGUUCGUGUUUCUUGGCACAAGCAAGUCUCUUCUUAUUAUUAGUGUCCUUUAGUAGUGGUUUCUUUGCAGCAAUUAGACCAUGAAGGCCUGAUUCACGCAGUCUCCUCUGAACAGUUGAUGUUGAGAUAUGUCUGUUACUUGAACUCUGUGAAGCAUUUUUUUGUGGACUGCAAUCUGAGAUGCAGUUAACUCUUACUUAUCCUCUGCAGCAGAGGUAACUCUGGGUCUUCCUUUCCUGUGGCGGUCCUUGUGAGAGCCAGUUUCAUCAUAGUGCUGAUGGUUUUUGCGACUGCACUUGAAGAAACUUUAAAAGUCCUUGAAAUGUUCCGGAUUGACUGACCUUCAUGUCUUUUCUCUUUGCUUAUUUGAGCAAUUUAUUUCCCAAAUAGGGCUAUCAUCUGUAUACCACCCCUACCUUGUCACAACACAACUGCUUGUCUCAAACAUGCUAAGGUGGAAAGAAGUUCCACAAAUGAACUUUUAACAAGGCACACCUUUUCAUUGAAAUGCAUUCCAGGUGACUACCUCAUGUAGCUGGUUGUGAGAGAAUGUCAAGAGUGUGCGAAGCUGUAAUUAAGGCCAAGGGUGGCUACUUUGAAGAAUCUCAAAUAUAAAAUGCUUUUUGAAUUUUUUUAACACUUUUUUGGUUACUACAUUUAUUCCAUAUGUGUUAUUUCAUAGUUUUGAUGUCUUCACGAUGAUUCUACAAUGCAGAAAAUAGUAAAAAUUAAGAAAAACCCUUGAAUGAGUAUGUGUGUCCAAACUUUUGACUGGUACUGUAAAAACACUACCGUUUAAACGUUUGGGGUCACUUAGAAAUGUCAUUAUUUUCCAUGAAUACAUACAUGAAAUGAGUUGCAAAAUGAAUAGGAAAUAUAGUCAAGAUGUUGACAAGGUUAUAAAUAAUGAUGUUUCGUUGAAAUAAUAAUUGUGUUCUUUGCUUUCAUCAAAGAACCCUCCAUUUGCAGCAAUUACAGCCUUGCAGACCUUUGGCAUUCUAGUUGUCAAUUUGUUGAGGUAAUCUGAAGAGAUUUCGCCCCGUGCUUCCUGAAGCAACUCCCACAAGUUGGACUGGUUGAUGGUCACUUCUUACAUACGGUCAAGCUGCUCUCACAACAGCUCAAUAGGGUUGAUAUCCAGUGACUGUGCUUUGAGUCAUUGAAAUUGGCUCCAACUAAGCGCCGUCCACAGGGUAUGGCAUGGCGUUGCAAAAUGGAGUGAUAGCUUUCCUUCUUCAAGAACCCUUUUCCCCUUUACAAAACACCUACUUUACCACCACCAAAGCACCCCUAGACCAUCACAUUGCCUCCACCAUGCUUGACAGACAGCGUCAACCACUCCUCCAGCAUCUUUUAAAAAAUUCUGCAUCUCACAAAUGUUCUUCUUUGUGAUCCGGACACCUCAUACUUAGAUUUGUCUGUCCAUAAUACUUUUUUUCAAUCUUACCUUGUCCAGUGUCUGUGUUAUUUUGCCCAUCUUAAUCUUUUAUUUUUAUUGGCCAGUCUGAGAUAUGGCUUUUUCUUUGCAACUCUCCCUAGAAGGCCAGCAUCCCGGAGUCGUCUCUUCACUGUUGACGUUGAGACUAGUGUUUUGCAGGUAAUAAUGAAGCAGUUGAGGACUUGGGAGGCGUCUGUUUCUCAAACUAGACACUCUAAUGUACUUGUCCUCUUGCUCAGUUGUGCACCGGGGCCUCCCACUCCUCUUUCUAUUCUGGUUUAGAGACAGUUAGGCUGUUCUGUGAAGGGGAGUAGUACACAGCGUUGCAUGAGAUCUUCAGUUUCUUGGCAAUUUUUCAUGGAAUUGGAAUAGCCUUAAUUUCGCAGAACAAGAGUAGGCGGAUGACUUUCAGAAGAAAGUUCUUUGUUUCUGCCAAUUUUUAGCCCGUAAUCAAACCCACAAAUGCUGAUGCUCCAGAUUCUCAACUAGCCUAAAGGCCAGUUUUAUUGCUUCUUUAAUCAGAAAAAAACGUUUUCAGCUUGUGCCAACAUAAUUGCAAAUGGGUUUUCUAAUGAUCAAUUAGCCUUUUAAAAUUAUAAACUUGGAUUAGCUAACACAACGUGCCAUUUGAACAUGGUUGCUGAUAAUGGACCUCUAUACGCCAAUGUAGAUAUUCGAUUAAAAAUCAGCCAUUUCCAGCUGCAAUAGUCAUUUACAACAUUACUAAUGUCUACACUGUAUUUCUGAUCAAUUUUAUGUUUUUCUAAUGGACAAAAACAAGGACAUUUCUAAGUGACCCCAAACUUUUGAAC
ensembl:lncRNA